rnacentral:rRNA from 1 species
UACGUAGGUGGCGAGCGUUGUCCGGAUUUACUGGGCGUAAAGGGCGUGCAGGCGGUUCGUUAAGUGCAUGGUGAAAGCUCCCGGCUCAACUGGGAGAGGUCUGUGUAUACUGGCGGACUUGAGGGGGGUAGAGGAAAGUGGAAUUCCCGGUGUAGUGGUGAUAUGCGUAGAUAUCGGGAGGAACACCUGUGGCGAAGGCGGCUUUCUGGGCCCUACCUGACGCUGAGACGCGAAAGCGUGGGGAGCGAACCGG